rnacentral:rRNA from 1 species
GCCAGCAGCCGCGGUGAUACGUAGGUGGCAAGCGUUGUCCGGAUUUAUUGGGCGUAAAGCGAGCGCAGGCGGUUUCUUAAGUCUGAUGUGAAAGCCCCCGGCUCAACCGGGGAGGGUCAUUGGAAACUGGGAGACUUGAGUGCAGAAGAGGAGAGUGGAAUUCCAUGUGUAGCGGUGAAAUGCGUAGAUAUAUGGAGGAACACCAGUGGCGAAGGCGGCUCUCUGGUCUGUAACUGACGCUGAGGCUCGAAAGCGUGGGGAGCGAACAGGAUUAGAUACCCUGGUAGUCCACGCCGUGAACGAUGAGUGCUAAGUGUUGGAGGGUUUCCGCCCUUCAGUGCUGCAGCAAACGCAUUAAGCACUCCGCCUGGGGAGUACGACCGCAAGGUUGAAACUCAAAGGAAUUGACGGGGGCCCGCACAAGCGGUGGAGCAUGUGGUUUAAUUCGAAGCAACGCGAAGAACCUUACCAGGUCUUGACAUCCUUUGACCACUCUAGAGAUAGAGCUUCCCCUUCGGGGGCAAAGUGACAGGUGGUGCAUGGUUAUCGUCAGCUCGUGUCGUGAGAUGUUGGGUUAAGUCCCGCAACGAGCGCAACCCUUAUUGUUAGUUGCCAUCAUUUAGUUGGGCACUCUAGCGAGACUGCCGGUGACAAACCGGAGGAAGGUGGGGAUGACGUCAAAUCAUCAUGCCCCUUAUGACCUGGGCUACACACGUGCUACAAUGGGAAGUACAACGAGUUGCGAAGUCGCGAGGCUAAGCUAAUCUCUUAAAGCUUCUCUCAGUUCGGAUUGUAGGCUGCAACUCGCCUACAUGAAGCCGGAAUCGCUAGUAAUCGCGGAUCAGCACGCCGCGGUGAAUACGUUCCCGGGCCUUGUACACACCGCCCGUCACACCACGAGAGUUUGUAACACCCGAAGUCGGUGAGGUAACCUUUUUGGAGCCAGCCGCCUAAGGUGGGAUAGAUGAUUGGGGUGAAGUCGUAACAAGGUAACCG